CUUAGGUGCCAAAGCCAUUCUUCACUGUUGGUGAUGGCACUCAAACAUCUUGUUGCAUCAUACUGGAUGUUCAAAGGAAACAUCCUAUUCUUGGACAUUUUCACGUAGGCCAUUAAUCUCCCAUUGUUGUCUCUAAUUGUCAGAUGACAAUUCUUCGAGUAAAAACUAUAUCCUCUCUCCAAAAGUUGGCCUAGGCUGAUCAGGUUCUGCUUUAUGGCUGGGACAUAAUACACAUCGGCGAUGUAGCUGGAAUCGCCAUUCUUCAACUUGACUG
rnacentral:lncRNA from 1 species